AUUGAACGCUGGCGGCAGGCCUAACACAUGCAAGUCGAACGAGUGGCGGACGGGUGAGUAAUGUCUGGGAAACUGCAUGAUGGAGGGGGAUAACUACUGGAAACGGUAGCUCAUACCGCAUACCAUCGGAUGUGCCCAGAUGGGAUUAGCUAGUAGGUGGGUUAAAGGCUCACCUAGGCGACGAUACCUAGCUGGUCUGAGAGGAUGACCAGCCACACUGGAACAGAGACACAGUCCAGAGUCCUAAGAGAGGCAGGAGUGGGGAAUAUUGGACAAUGGGCGGAAGCAUGAUGCAGCCAUGCCGCGUGUAUGAAGAAGGCCUUCGGGUUGUAAAGUACUUUCAGCGGGGAUGCGUUACCCGCAGAAGAAGCACCGGCUAACUCCGUGCGAGCAGCCGCGGUAAUUC
rnacentral:rRNA from 1 species